GGAGGUGACGGCAAUCUGGCUGCAGCAUCUGUCACUCCAUUGAUUGUCAGGGUUGAUUUGUGUGACCUGGCUGGCUAGCUAAGUGUCUCCUUCGCUCCUCCCUCUUCCCUGCUUCAUUUCUUUUCCAUGUGGUUUUCUUUCUGUCAGCUCCAUCAUGUAGACCAGACCAAGGAAUCAACUUCAGAUAAUGGCUGAAACUUUUUUUUUUUUAACUGAGAUUGGCCAUAAUAAUAGAAUUAUUGCAAGUAUGUUUGUGCUCUAUAUU
rnacentral:snRNA from 1 species